UACGUAGGGGGCAAGCGUUGUCCGGAUUUAUUGGGCGUAAAGAGCUCGUAGGCGGUUCCGUAAGUCGUGAAGUCAAAUCUCUGGGCUCAACCCAGAAUCGCUUCCGAUACUGCGGUGACUGGAGUCCGGUAGGGGAGUGUGGAAUUCCUGGUGUAGCGGUGAAAUGCGCAGAUAUCAGGAGGAACACCGAUGGCGAAGGCAGGUCUCUGGGCCACUACUGACGCUGAGAAGCGAAAGCAUGGGGAGCGAACAGG
rnacentral:rRNA from 1 species